rnacentral:tRNA from 1 species
GCGGUGGUAGCUCAGUGGUUAGAGCGCCUGACUGUGGCUCAGGAGGUCGGGGGUUCAAGUCCCCUUCGCCGCCCCA